AGCACUUUCCUACACUCUGGCAAAGUGACAGGAAUGAUUUCUUAUUUUCAUUUAUUUAAUAAAUAACUCCAGCAAUAGAAGUAUUUGCCUGACUCGGUCUACCAGCAUGAAUUAAAACAUUCAAUUACACCACUGGGGGAAGUUUAAAUAUUUACUUAUUCUUGAGGGGAUUAUAAAUUAACCCUAAGGACCUCCAUAAACCUUUGCCAAGACAUUGACAAAAAUCUUGAAUCCAGACCUUAAUUAAUCUGGGGAAAACUGUGCUGAGGCCCCAGGAGAUGCUGGGUGGGAGAGCCCCAAGGGCCCUGCAGGAACAGGCACACCCAGCUGCAAUAAUUCACAUUUAGUGCAAGUGUGCUGGGGGUGAUUAAAACUCGCUGUACCUGACACAUUUCGUGAUGGUCCCUGGAGAGGGAGCUUUGGCUGCCGGGCUCCUGAGCAGUUUUGGGAUCUGAGCCUGGGCUGUGCUGGGACUGCCCCGGGGCAGGGGAUGCUCCUGGCUCAGCUGGGAAGUGCUCGUGAGCAGAUCCAGGAUCCCCCUGAAGCCUCUUCUCUCCCCUGAGGAAAACUGAUCCCGUUCUCCAGACACCACUGGGCUCCUGAAAGGACGCUCCACAUCUCUGCAGGGCAGGUGAACCUCUCAUGAAAGGGCUGCAAAUUGGGCCAGUCCUGGAGGGAAACAAUUCCAGGGAUAAAAGCAGUUGCCUGCUUCGAAAAUAAAUGGAAUAGAAUCACGAAGGUUGGAAAAGAUCCUCAAGAUCAUCGAGUCCAUAAAGCUGGCAGUGCCACCAAGCCACGUCCCUGAGCACCACAUCCUUCAAACACCCUUGGAAAUCAGGUGGCACCAGACUCAGUGUGCUAAAUUCAUCUCUGGCAGUGGAAGGGGCAUCGCUGGUGCCACUGAAUCCCCGGAUUUCAGUGGGAAUGCACAGCUCCAACCCAGGCCCUGCUGCCCCCUCUCCUCACUCACAGCUGGAUUUGUUUUGAUGAACAGCAAUCAGCUGCUGCUGGUAAUGCCAAGGUGAGCCUCAGAGAGGGGUUUGGUGGGGCUCCUGGAGGGCACCAGGGAAGGUGGGGAAGUUCUGUUUGUGUUUUCAGGGGUAAGUGGUGCCCAGGCUGGGUGUCAGGGCACUGAGGGGUCUCUGUGUGCCCCAGCUGUUUGUGUUUCAUCAGCCACAGCCUGC
rnacentral:lncRNA from 1 species